GAGUUUGAUCGUGGCUCAGAGUGAACGCUGGCGGUAGGCCUAACACAUGCAAGUCGAACGGCAGCACAGAGGAGCUUGCUCCUUGGGUGGCGAGUGGCGGACGGGUGAGGAAUACAUCGGAAUCUACUCUGUCGUGGGGGAUAACGUAGGGAAACUUACGCUAAUACCGCAUACGACCUACGGGUGAAAGCAGGGGAUCUUCGGACCUUGCGCGAUUGAAUGAGCCGAUGUCGGAUUAGCUAGUUGGCGGGGUAAAGGCCCACCAAGGCGACGAUCCGUAGCUGGUCUGAGAGGAUGAUCAGCCACACUGGAACUGAGACACGGUCCAGACUCCUACGGGAGGCAGCAGUGGGGAAUAUUGGACAAUGGGCGCAAGCCUGAUCCAGCCAUACCGCGUGGGUGAAGAAGGCCUCGGUUGUAAG
rnacentral:rRNA from 1 species